GACGUAGGGGGCGAGCGUUGUCCGGAUUUACUGGGCGUAAAGAGCGCGUAGGCGGUUCGUUAAGUCAGAAGUGAAAUCUCCAGGGCUCAACCCGGAAACUGCUUUUGAUACUGGCGAACUUGAGUGUCGGAGAGGUAAUUGGAAUUCCCGGUGUAGCGGUGACAUGCAUUGAUAUCGGGAGGAACACCCAUGGCGAAGGCAGAUUACUGGCCGACAACUGACGCUGAGGCGCGAAAGCGUGGGUAGCAAACAGA
rnacentral:rRNA from 1 species